AUUGAACGCUGGCGGCAUGCUUUACACAUGCAAGUCGAACGGCAGCGCGGGCUUCGGCCUGGCGGCGAGUGGCGAACGGGUGAGUAAUGCAUCGGAACGUGCCCAGUAGUGGGGGAUAGCCCGGCGAAAGCCGGAUUAAUACCGCAUACGACCUGAGGGUGAAAGCGGGGGACCGAAAGGCCUCGCGCUAUUGGAGCGGCCGAUGUCGGAUUAGCUAGUUGGUGGGGUAAAGGCUUACCAAGGCGACGAUCCGUAGCUGGUCUGAGAGGACGACCAGCCACACUGGGACUGAGACACGGCCCAGACUCCUACGGGAGGCAGCAGUGGGGAAUUUUGGACAAUGGGGGCAACCCUGAUCCAGCCAUGCCGCGUGCGGGAAGAAGGCCUUCGGGUUGUAAACCGCUUUUGUUCGGGAGGAAAUCCUCUGGGCUAAUACCCCGGGGGGAUGACGGUACCGGAAGAAUAAGCACCGGCUAACUACGUG
rnacentral:rRNA from 1 species